rnacentral:rRNA from 1 species
UGGGGAAUUUUGGACAAUGGGGGAAACCCUGAUCCAGCCAUCCCGCGUGUGCGAUGAAGGCCUUCGGGUUGUAAAGCACUUUUGGCAGGAAAGAAACGUCAUGGGUUAAUACCCCGUGAAACUGACGGUACCUGCAGAAUAAGCACCGGCUAACUACGUGCCAGCAGCCGCGGUAAUACGUAGGGUGCAAGCGUUAAUCGGAAUUACUGGGCGUAAAGCGUGCGCAGACGGUUCGGAAAGAAAGAUGUGAAAUCCCAGAGCUCAACUUUGGAACUGCAUUUUUAACUACCGGGCUAGAGUGUGUCAGAGGGAGGUGGAAUUCCGCGUGUAGCAGUGAAAUGCGUAGAUAUGCGGAGGAACACCGAUGCGAAGGCAGCCUCCUGGGAUAACACUGACGCUCAUGCACGAAAGCGUGGGGAGCAAACAGG